UACGAAGGGGGCUAGCGUUGCUCGGAAUUACUGGGCGUAAAGCGCACGUAGGCGGAUUGUUAAGUCGGGGUGAAAUCCUGGAGCUCAACUCCAGAACUGCCUUCGAUACUGGCGAUCUCGAGUUCGGGAGAGGUGAGUGGAACUGCGAGUGUAGAGGUGAAAUUCGUAGAUAUUCGCAAGAACACCAGUGGCGAAGGCGGCUCACUGGCCCGAUACUGACGCUGAGUGCGAAAGCGUGGGAGCAACAGG
rnacentral:rRNA from 1 species